GGAGAGGUGGCAGAGUGGUCGAAUGUACCGCACUCGAAAUGCGGCGUGGGCGCAAGUUCACCGUGGGUUCGAAUCCCACCCUCUCCGCCA
rnacentral:tRNA from 1 species